rnacentral:rRNA from 1 species
UACGUAGGGUGCGAGCGUUAAUCGGAAUUACUGGGCGUAAAGCGUGCGCAGGCGGUUUUGUAAGUCAGAUGUGAAAUCCCCGGGCUUAACCUGGGAACUGCAUUUGGGACUGCAAGGCUUGAGUGCGGCAGAGGAGACUGGAAUUCCUGGUGUAGCAGUGAAAUGCGUAGAUAUCAGGAGGAAUACCGAUGGCGAAGGCAGGUCUCUGGGCUGACACUGACGCUCAUGCACGAAAGCGUGGGGAGCAAACAGG